rnacentral:misc_RNA from 1 species
UCUCCGUAGGUGAACCUGCGGAGGGAUCAUUACCGAGCUCAUGCCCUUACGGGUAGAUCUCCCACCCUGUGUUAUUAUUACCUUUGUUGCUUUGGCGGGCCGCCAGGCUCCGGUCAGGCUAUCGGCUUCGGCUGGUAAGCGCCCGCCAGAGGACCCUAUAUCCUGAUUAUUAGUGUCGUCUGAGUACUAUAUAAUAGUUAAAACUUCCAACAACGGAUCUCUUGGUUCUG